ACAAGUCGAACGGGACAGGUAGCAAUAUCUGUUCAGUGGCGAACGGGUGCGUAACACGUGGGCAACAUGCCUGGAAGAGCGGGAUAGCCCGGGGAAACUCGGAUUAAUACCGCAUGUGACAACGGGGCGGCUUCGCCCUGUUUUCAAAGGUGGGGACCGCAAGGCCUGCCGCUUCCAGAUUGGCCCGCGUCCUAUCAGCUAGUUGGCGGGGUAAAAGCCCACCAAGGCGACGACGGGUAGCUGGUCUGAGAGGACGACCAGCCACACUGGAACUGAGACACGGUCCAGACACCUACGGGUGGCAGCAGUCGAGAAUCUUUCACAAUGGGGGAAACCCUGAUGGAGCGACGCCGCGUGGAGGAUGACGGUCUUCGGAUUGUAAACUCCUGUCAUGAAAGAACAAGUGAUGCGGGUGAACAGCCCGCAAAGUUGAUAGUAUUUCAAGAGGAAGGGACGGCUAACUUCGUGCCAGCAGCCGCGGUAAUACGAAGGUCCCAAGCGUUGUUCGGAAUCACUGGGCGUAAAGAGUGCGUAGGCGGCGCGGAAAGUCAGAUGUGAAAUCCCGGGGCUCAACCUCGGAACGGCAUCCGAUACUCCCGCGUUCGAGGACUGGAGGGGAGUCUGGAAUUCACGGUGUAGCAGUGAAAUGCGUAGAUAUCGUGAGGAACACUAGUGGCGAAGGCGAGACUCUGGACAGUUCCUGACGCUGAGGCACGAAGGCCAGGGGAGCGAAGGGGAUUAGAUACCCCCGUAGUCCUGGCAGUAAACGGUGCUCGCUUGGUAUGCGCGGUUUCGACCCCGUGCGUGCCCGGAGCUAACGCGUUAAGCGAGCCGCCUGUGAAGUACGGUCGCAAGAUUAAAACUCAAAGAAAUUGACGGGGGACCCCGCACAAGCGGGUGGAGUAUGUG
rnacentral:rRNA from 1 species